CAGCUGGCGACUGGUCUCCCCGGCUGGCCCGGUAGAUUGCAAGCGACCCAAGAGGGCAGCUCCUUUCUAUUGCAGAAAUGUGUGGAGUUUGGCAGGAAUGCCCGUCCCCGCAGCAUUUGACCACAAGAGUCUCUUUGAUGAAACAUGAGCUGGUCUGGGAUCAUUGCCUGGGGGUCUUGGAGGACAGUUCCACUGCCAUCGUGAAUCUCAUUCCAAGAGAAGUCUAUGGACCAAGACAGUUGGAUGAACAUUGGAUACAACCACCCCAGCUAUUGUGGAAGGAAAGCUCCAACUAUUUCUCUGUUGCUCUCUUGAAAUCAAAGAGAAAGAGAGGCAGGCCCCUUUUCCAAAGACAAUGAAAGGAACCAGGCACGGAAGAAGGAGAAGGAUAAAGGCAAGUAAGUAUUUGCAGGUGUAAAGGAGCUUUUAAAUAUUUACUGCAAUAUUUUGCUGAACAUGCAAGUCUCCUUCAGUUUUGUUCCUCGCUUCCUAAUGCAGAAUAAAGCCUUAUGUAGUCUGUGAGCCCUAUGGGGAAGGAAGGACGUUUUUUAAUUCUGUAAAAACUGCUGUCUCACCCAAAACCCACAAGGCAGGGUAAGUCAAACCUCCCCUCCUGCUAGUAUCUCUCUGUUAUUUCACAACCAGGGAGCUGCCAGCGGGCGGGCGCAGGGGAGAUUAAAGGGGGUGGGGACCAGCUCACAAACAGCCAGCGACAGAUGAAGAAGACGCCGAGAGCCAACCCAUGACCAGCAGCUGCACUUUAUGGACAGUGGACUCAUCCAUAAAGUAGAAAGCACUACUAAACGCUCGUGUCCAAGUGUAGUGUUUCCUACUUUAUGGAUGAGUGUACUGUGAGCAACGGAGGCAACAAGGAGGAGCGGAGACUGGCACAAGACCAGGGAAAGGGUGGAGGGCAGGGGAAGGCGGAAAUGCCACGUGGCCGUAGACAGGAGGGCAUCAUGGUUGAACACACACACAGCCGGACUGUCACUCAAAUACAGAUGCAUCUCUUUCCCCAAAAUAUAGUACAUGACACUCCCAACAAUAAUGCUUGUAACAUGUGACUCAUAACUGAAUCUAAGUAGGAGGUAGGGGUGGAGAACAAGACCUGGAGGGAAAGGCCCAUUUAUUGGCAUCAACUAAUGAUGCUCUGAAGUUAUUCUGCCAAUACCCUCUUUCCAACUUUGCUACAAUCUGUGCAUGAUACCUUCUACCCUGCCACACACCCCUACCUGAAUAUGCUUUUAGAAAGUAGAAGGGUUUGGGAAUUUGCUGGGGGCAGAGAAGGGGGUGAGUAAAAUAUCACAUGAUGCUUGGUACAUGUAUAUGGAAGCUGGCCAUACAUGUGCAAACACCCCAUGACCAACAUACCCUUAAAGACCUUCGUUGUUUGGGUAACUGUCUGAAGGUCACUAGCUGUGAUUAUGUGCUUAAAAGGAGAGGGGACAGGUAUUACAGGAUGUACUGUAUGACCACUUGCAUUACGAAAAUAAACUUUCAACACAGUU